AGGUAACAUUGAAUAAAUGGCAAGAAACCAAUAUGUGAUUACAGAUCAUUGAUAAGUGCUGCAAAGGAAAACAAGAGGACUCUAUGAAGGAGAAUUACCAGUGUGACUCUACAACGUGUGAUUGCUCCUGGUGAAUCAAAAGGAUAAAGCUGCUGAUUCUGCAAUUUGAUAACCCAACCAUGCUGACCUCAAAGUGUAGUCAAUCCAUGAAGUUCCUCCCACCACAGCUCAUCCUGAACACUGCCCACCUGAGUCAUCAAGAAAGAUUUCACCUGAUUCUUGGCCACAAAGUUUCAAGGGAACCAGAGCUAAUGAAGACAGCGUGGAAGGGCGCCGCUGAGACCUACCUGUGGGAGUCCACCUCACCUUGAAGAACAGCUACCAUUGUAACACAGAUGGAUAAACCCCAUGAAAGUGAACUUCCUAAAUGCAAAUUCUGAUCUUGAAGCCCCAGUUGGCACAUCUACUGGAGACCCUCCCAAGCAACAAGAUGUAGAUGCUUUAGAGAUAACAAACUAUACAAGUUGUCUUCCAUUCUUUCUCCUUCCUCUAUUUUCAACACGGAUAAAAUACAUAUAUAUUUAUCUUGC